UAGGGAAUAUUGGGCAAUGGGCGCAAGCCUGACCCAGCAACGCCGCGUGAGGGAAGAAGGUUUUCGGAUUGUAAACCUCUGUCCUAUGUGACGAAGGAAGUGACGGUAGCAUAGGAGGAAGCCCCGGCUAACUACGUGCCAGCAGCCGCGGUAAUACGUAGGGGGCGAGCGUUGUCCGGAAUUACUGGGCGUAAAGGGUGCGUAGGCGGUUUGGUAAGUUGGAUGUGAAAUACCCGGGCUUAACUUGGGGGCUGCAUCCAAUACUGUCGGACUUGAGUGCAGGAGAGGAAAGCGGAAUUCCUAGUGUAGCGGUGAAAUGCGUAGAUAUUAGGAGGAACACCGGUGGCGAAGGCGGCUUUCUGGACUGUAACUGACGCUGAGGCACGAAAGCGUGGGGAGC
rnacentral:rRNA from 1 species